UACGUAGGGGGCUAGCGUUGUCCGGAAUCAUUGGGCGUAAAGAGCGCGUAGGCGGCCAGAUAAGUCCGGUGUGAAAGUCACAGGCUCAACCUGUGAAUGCCGCUGGAAACUGUCUGGCUUGAGUCCGGAAGGGGCGAGUGGAAUUCCUGGUGUAGCGGUGAAAUGCGCAGAUAAUCAGGAGGAACACCAAUGGCGAAGGCAGCUCGCUGGGACGUGACUGACGCUGAGACGCGAAAGCGUGGGGAGCAAACAGG
rnacentral:rRNA from 1 species